rnacentral:rRNA from 1 species
GUUUGAUCCUGGCUCAGGAUGAACGCUGGCGGCGUGCCUAACACAUGCAAGUCGAGCGAAGCGGUUUUAAGGAAGUUUUCGGAUGGAAUUAAAACUGACUGAGCGGCGGACGGGUGAGUAACGCGUGGGUAACCUGCCUCAUACAGGGGGAUAACAGUUAGAAAUGGCUGCUAAUACCGCAUAAGCACACAGCUUCGCAUGGAGCAGUGUGAAAAACUCCGGUGGUAUGAGAUGGACCCGCGUCUGAUUAGCUAGUUGGUAAGGUAACGGCUUACCAAGGCGACGAUCAGUAGCCGACCUGAGAGGGUGAUCGGCCACAUUGGAACUGAGACACGGUCCAAACUCCUACGGGAGGCAGCAGUGGGGAAUAUUGCACAAUGGGCGAAAGCCUGAUGCAGCAACGCCGCGUGAGCGAUGAAGGCCUUCGGGUCGUAAAGCUCUGUCCUCAAGGAAGAUAAUGACGGUACUUGAGGAGGAAGCCCCGGCUAACUACGUGCCAGCAGCCGCGGUAAUACGUAGGGGGCUAGCGUUAUCCGGAAUUACUGGGCGUAAAGGGUGCGUAGGUGGUUUCUUAAGUCAGAGGUGAAAGGCUACGGCUCAACCGUAGUAAGCCUUUGAAACUGGGAAACUUGAGUGCAGGAGAGGAGAGUGGAAUUCCUAGUGUAGCGGUGAAAUGCGUAGAUAUUAGGAGGAACACCAGUUGCGAAGGCGGCUCUCUGGACUGUAACUGACACUGAGGCACGAAAGCGUGGGGAGCAAACAGGAUUAGAUACCCUGGUAGUCCACGCCGUAAACGAUGAGUACUAGCUGUCGGAGGUUACCCCCUUCGGUGGCGCAGCUAACGCAUUAAGUACUCCGCCUGGGAAGUACGCUCGCAAGAGUGAAACUCAAAGGAAUUGACGGGGACCCGCACAAGUAGCGGAGCAUGUGGUUUAAUUCGAAGCAACGCGAAGAACCUUACCUAAGCUUGACAUCCUUUUGACCGAUGCCUAAUCGCAUCUUUCCCUUCGGGGACAGAAGUGACAGGUGGUGCAUGGUUGUCGUCAGCUCGUGUCGUGAGAUGUUGGGUUAAGUCCCGCAACGAGCGCAACCCUUAUCCUCAGUAGCCAGCAGUAAGAUGGGAACUCUGGGGAGACUGCCAGGGAUAACCUGGAGGAAGGUGGGGAUGACGUCAAAUCAUCAUGCCCCUUAUGAUUUGGGCUACACACGUGCUACAAUGGCGUAAACAAAGGGAAGCGAGAGGGUGACCUGGAGCAAAUCCCAAAAAUAACGUCCCAGUUCGGACUGUAGUCUGCAACCCGACUACACGAAGCUGGAAUCGCUAGUAAUCGCAGAUCAGAAUGCUGCGGUGAAUACGUUCCCGGGUCUUGUACACACCGCCCGUCACACCAUGGGAGUUGGGAAUGCCCGAAGCCAGUGACCUAACCGUAAGGAAGGAGCUGUCGAAGGCAGGCUCGAUAACUGGGGUGAAGUCGUAACAAGGUAGCCGUAUCGGAAGGUGCGGCUG